GGACGGCCCGCUACUUCCAGAGCCGGGGCCCGCGGCAGGAGGCUGCCCUCAAGACCCACGUCUAUCGCUACCUCCGUGCCUUCCUGCCGGAAAGUGGCUUUACCAUCCUGCCCUGCACACGCUACUCCAUGGAGACCAACGGGGCCAAGAUCGUGUCCACUCGCGCUUGGAAAAAGAAUGAGAAGCUGGAGCUGCUGGUGGGCUGCAUUGCAGAGCUGCGGGAGGCGGAUGAGGGGCUGCUGAGGGCCGGUGAGAACGACUUCAGCAUCAUGUACUCAACACGCAAGCGGAGUGCUCAGCUGUGGCUGGGCCCAGCCGCCUUCAUCAACCAUGGUGAGGGUCAGGCAGGUGGAUGGGCGGGACGGGACAGAGCCAGGCGGGGCUGGAGGGAUGUAGUGGGAGGGUUCUGCAACUGAGCUGCUGAGCUCAUCGACCUCUCUUCUCUCUCCUGCCCCGACUGGCUCCAGACUGCAAACCCAACUGCAAGGUAAGUCCCUGGGACUCGGGAGGAGUGGGCACGCGGGAAGAAAGGGUGCCUGUGGCCUGGGGAAAGGGUUUUUGGUCAGUAAAGAGCCAAACGCUGGCCAGGUGCGGUGGCUCACGCCUGUAAUCCCAGCACUUUGGGAGGCCGAGGAGGGUGGAUCACGAGGUUAGGAGAUGG
rnacentral:sRNA from 1 species